rnacentral:misc_RNA from 1 species
AAACAACAUAAACAUUUUCUAAUUCUUUCAAAUUUGGUGAAGCCUUGGCAUAACGGCACAUGACUAGGAGAUCACGGAUUCAAAUUAUGGAAAGAAUCACUAGCAGAAGGUAUGCCAAAUGUGACCUGGCCCUUCUCCAAACCCUACGUAUAGCGAGAGCUUAGUGUACCUAAACUGCACUUUAAUUUGGAUAUACAGACUAUAGUCUUCUAUAUUAGUACAAUAAACAAGCAUAUAUUUCAUCAAUAUUUCUUACACGCUUAAAAUAUCAAAAUGCUGCCCAUCCAGCUGCUGUGGUCUUCUUGCUCGAACCAGAUCCAGUGGCUGAAGGAAGGCUCCUCUCAAGUUGAGAGAGAUCGGAAAUUGGAUCACUGGACUGCAUUGAGCUUCCAUUUGGCCCCUUGAGUGCAAUACUAGCAGUGGUAGAAGUCUUCCGAGAAAUAGCUGGAUCAUUCGGAGGGGGUGGAAGAGGAGACCUG